ensembl:lncRNA
CAACAAGCUACCAAACGAGCAGCAACAGCUAGCGGCUAUUCUCCGCUGGGGGGGGACGCGGUGCAUUAACGGUGCAAAAGUUUCGAAACACGGGUUCCUGGUGCUGAAUACAGACAAGAGCGACGCCGGGCGAAUCCUGAGACGGCUGCCGGAACCAUGGCUGACAGCUGGCGUUUGUAACGGCGAGUUAUUUGACGUUAUUUGACGCUUCAAAUGUGCGGAAAGUCGCUCGCUCUCGCCUCGUCGCCGAACAAGAUGGACGCAGCGGCAGCAACGCCGUCGUUGCAGGAUCUGACCGCGGUGCCGUCCCCCGAAGCGCUGGGUGCUGCGAUUAAUGGCUACCACUGAAGAGGUCAGGGCUUUCUUUGGGGUUCUCCUUUGUGUGAAACUGACUGUCCGGUGUGGCAUGUGGGGACAAGCCAGAGAUAUA